rnacentral:tRNA from 1 species
GGAUUGUGGCUCAGCGGUAGAUGCUCGCCUUGCACGAGUGAGACCCUGGGUUCAAUCCUCAGCACCA